rnacentral:rRNA from 1 species
CAAUAGCGUAUAUUAAAGUUGUUGCAGUUAAAAAGCUCGUAGUUAGAUUUCUGGUCGGAAGCUCCUGUCCUCUGAUGAGCGUACAAGUGCGUCCUACCAUCCUUCUGUUAACCUUUAAGGCUUUCGCGGCUUUCUAGGGGCUCAGAUAUUUUACCUUGAGAAAAUUAGAGUGUUUCAGGCAGGCUAGCGCCGGAAUACAUUAGCAUGGAAUAAUGGAAUAGGACUUUUGCCUCUUCUGUUGGUCAUGAGGCUCGAGUAAUGAUUAAUAGGGAUAGUUGGGGGCAUUAGUACUUAACUGUCAGAGGUGAAAUUCUCGGAUUUGUUAAAGACUAACUUAUGCGAAAGCAUUUGCCAAGGAUGUUUUCAUUAA